GACGAACGCUGGCGGCGUGCUUAACACAUGCAAGUCGAACGGAAAGGCCCCUUUGGGGGUCCUCGAGUGGCGAACGGGUGAGUAACACGUGAGUAACCUGCCCUUGACUUCGGGAUAACUUCAGGAAACUGGGGCUAAUACCGGAUAGGAAUCCUUGCUGCAUGGUGGGGGUUGGAAAGAUUCGGCGGUUUUGGAUGGACUCGCGGCUUAUCAGCUUGUUGGUGGGGUAGUGGCUUACCAAGGCUUUGACGGGUAGCCGGCCUGAGAGGGCGACCGGCCACAUUGGGACUGAGAUACGGCCCAGACUCCUACGGGAGGCAGCAGUGGGGAAUAUUGCACAAUGGGCGGAAGCCUGAUGCAGCAACGCCGCGUGCGGGAUGACGGCCUUCGGGUUGUAAACCGCUUUCAGCAGGAGCGAAGCUUGUGGUGACGGUACCUGCAGAAGAAGCACCGGCUAACUACGUG
rnacentral:rRNA from 1 species